UACGAAGGGGGCUAGCGUUGCUCGGAAUCACUGGGCGUAAAGCGCACGUAGGCGGAUCUUUAAGUCAGGGGUGAAAUCCUGGAGCUCAACUCCAGAACUGCCUUUGAUACUGGGGAUCUCGAGUCCGGGAGAGGUGAGUGGAACUGCGAGUGUAGAGGUGAAAUUCGUAGAUAUUCGGAAGAACACCAGUGGCGAAGGCGGCUCACUGGACUGGUAUUGACGCUGAGGUGCGAAAGCGUGGGGAGCAAACAGG
rnacentral:rRNA from 1 species